ACCUUUUUAGUAUAAAAAGUAUAAUUAACUUCCAAUUAAAAGGUUUAUGAUUUAAAAAAGGUA
rnacentral:tRNA from 1 species